rnacentral:rRNA from 1 species
CCUACGGGAGGCAGCAGUGAGGAAUAUUGGUCAAUGGACGAGAGUCUGAACCAGCCAAGUAGCGUGAAGGAUGACUGCCCUAUGGGUUGUAAACUUCUUUUAUAUGGGAAUAAAAUGUUCCACGUGUGGGAUUUUGUAUGUACCAUAUGAAUAAGGAUCGGCUAACUCCAUGCCAGCAGCCGCGGUAAUACGGAGGAUCCGAGCGUUAUCCGGAUUUCUUGGGUUUAAAGGGAGCGUAGGUGGAUUGUUAAGGCCAUUGUGAAAGUUUGCGGCUCAACCGUAAAAUUGCAGUUGAAACUGGCAGUCUUGAGUACAGGAGAGGUGGGCGGAAGUCGUGGUGGAGCGGUGAAAUGCUUAGAUAUCACGAAGAACUCCGAUUGCGAAGGCAGCUCACUGGACUGCAACUGACACUGAGGCUCGAAAGUGUGGGUAGCAAACAGGAUUAGAUACCCGGGUAGUC